UAGAAUCCGGGCACUGAUGGUUCCCCGAAAAGGGAUUAAUAGGGAAUCCGGUCGCGGCCUCCGCCUUGCACGAAAGCAGGGGAGGCCGGACAUUCCGGAGCUGCCCCCGCAACUGUAAUCGGCGAGCUCUUGCCACUAGCGCCACUGGAACCGCAGGGUUCCGGGAAGGCCGGCAAGGAGCGAAGACCCGAGAGCCAGGAGACCUGCCGUCGAAUCUUUGUCUAU
rnacentral:ncRNA from 2 species